rnacentral:lncRNA from 1 species
CUAGCUAAUAGCCAGCAGGUAACAUUCAAACAUAUACUUCUAAUAUCAUGCUUUGAGAAUGGAGAUCGCCCUUGGCAUCUGGAUAUCUCAUAUAUAUGCAAACAUUUCCAGACUGAUAUUGCUCUUUCUAUAUUUUCCCGUUCUGAGUUUCCUCUGUGGAAAGAUAUUAAAAGACCUGAUUGUGCCACAUGUCAAGAGAUUAGAGAAUCAAGCAGUUAAAAUUCUGUUAAGCAGUUAAAGUUCUGUUAAUAAUGUUAGACAGUUAAGAAAGUUUGUUAGUAUUGAGGUGAGAAGCUUGUUCACAUCUAUAACUUGAUAUAAAAAGAUCUGUAACAGUGUAAAACAGAGUAAUGAAUUACAGUGAACACAUUCUUCUUCUUCCAUCACCUAUCAGACAUUCUCUCUGCUUAGUUUUCUAGUGUAUUCCUGUGAAAAUCUGCAUCUUAACACUCUGUAAUUGUUGAGACAAAGAAAUGGGCGCAUAAUGGCACUGCAUGGUGAUGAAGAAGUAGCUAACAAGCAGGUGAUAUUAAAAGACUAUGUCAUGUCUGGUUGUCCUAAGAAUUCAGACAUGAAUGUGAUCACCAGUUCUAUCAAACUUGAAGGUGUUUACGUGCUUGAGUAUUAUGUAAGAAAAGAAAGUAGAAGAGAAUUUUAAAACAGCAAUGUUAUUGAUGCUGCAGUAUUAUUAAGAAAGGAUUGAAUACAGAAUUGCUUAAUGUUUCACAGCAAUCUUAAUCAUUUGAUAAAAUUGCUGUUUGAUCAAAUUAGAGAUGUUUCAUGCUAUUAGGAUAAGGAUGAUGGACUCUGUAAAUGUUUUGAAUCAAGGCAAACAAUCACCAGUACAAUAUGUUUCAAAUUUGUUGAGUUACUUCUCUUGGGUAUUCUUUUGCUACCUGCAGUGAGUAUUCUUCGGAAUCAUCUUCAGAUAACGAUGAACAGAUUGAACAAUAACAGUACUUUUGGGAUUUUAAAUGAUGGUUCUGAAAUUACCUUUAUGUCAAGGGGAUACAAUUCUUCUUCCAUCUGACAGUAGUGGAGAAAAACUAGCCAGCAAGUUUUUGAAACAGAAGUAGCACCAUUAAAACACAGAAAGCUAGAGCUGAACCUAUUUUCAAUGUAAAAAACAAAAAAAGCAGUUUAAUUUGUAUCUAAUGGUAAAUUCAAUAACAGAAAAGAUGUAGAUGGAGCAGCAAAUGACACAAGAAGUUAUCGAAAUUCCAAACCAUACCUCAGUGUGUUAAUAUAUUGUCGUUCUAUACACAAUGGACAACAUUGAUG